GGACCCAAAGCUCGGUGCUGGAAAGAUAAAAGUGAAGAAACCUUCAACCGUGUGAUUAAUACUAUUUCAACUAAGCUUCAGGUGAAUAUGACCGACUAUGGAGUUUCUUUGCAGCAACUCAAUGACCUUUUAUCAGACGAAAAUGGCCACUUCAGCAUGCCAACCAGAGAUUUCAAUGAAGUCUACACCAGGAUUCUGCUUGGAAAUGAGUCCGUGGCCACAAAUGUGAGACUCCUGCAACAACUGCAAGUUACCCACAUUCUUAAUGUUGCAGAUGGAGACUCCUACAUGCAUGUGAAGACAGGUGCAGAAUAUUAUGUGGGUACAGGAAUUAUCUACCACGGAAUACCAGCCAAUGACGUGGAGUAUUUUAAUCUCAGCAUAUACUUCGAAGAGUGUGCAGACUUCAUAGAACAGGCCCUGGCAAAUAAAGAAGACAGAGGCAAGGUGUAUGUGCACUGCCAAAAGGGUUACAGUCGCUCAGCAACGGUCGUCAUCGCUUACCUGAUGCUGAAGCACAAGCUGGAUGUACGAGCUGCUCUGGCUACAGUGAGAGAGAAAAGGGAGAUUGGACCUAACGAUGGUUUCCUGUGGCAGCUCUGUCAACUAAAUGACAGACUGCAAAAUGAGGGCAAGUUAUAAAAGGAGAUCAGGAUCCACAACAAACUGCUGGAUGAAGAGAAGUAUGAGAUACACAGAGACACACAUCCUAGUAAGCGCCGCAGUAUCUGCUUCCGGGGUUGAAGGGCCUCAAC